GUUGGAAACCAUUCGAAGAGUGCAAAGGCAGAAGGGAGCUUGACUGCGACACCGACGGGUGGAGCAGGUACGAAAGUAGGACUUAGUGAUCCGGUGGUAUAAAGUGGGAUUGCCAUCGCUCAACGGAUAAAAGCUACCCUGGGGAUAACAGGCUUAUCACUCCCAAGAGUUCACAUCGACGGAGUGGUUUGGCACCUCGAUGUCGGCUCAUCGCAUCCUGGGGCUGAAGUAGGUCCCAAGGGUUGGGCUGUUCGCCCAUUAAAGCGGUACGCGAGCUGGGUUCAGAACGUCGUGAGACAGUUCGGUCCCUAUCCGGCGUGGGCGUAGGAUAUUUGAGAGGAGCUGCCCUUAGUACGAGAGGACCGGGGUGGACUGGCCGCUGGUGGAUCUGUUGUAUUACCAAAUGCAUAGCAGAGUAGCCAAGCCGGGACGGGAUAAACGCUGAAGGCAUCUAAGCGUGAAGCCCCCCUCAAGAUGAGAUAUCCCAUAACGUCAAGUUAGUAAGACCCCUUGAAGACGACGAGGUAGAUAGGGCAGAGGUGGAAGUGCGGUAACGCAUGGAGCUGACUGUUACUAAUAGGUCGAGGGCAUAACCAAG
rnacentral:rRNA from 1 species